AGCUCUGUAAGCGUAUACCAAAGUUGUUGCAGUUAAAACGCUCGUAGUCGGAACUUGGCCGUGUCGGAUGUGUGCACGUCGUGUGCGCGCAUUGCAGAUAUGGCUUUUGUGGUUUUUGCGUACGAUGAGGCACGUUUAUUCGUGAACGUCGUAUCGCAGCCACUCUUUACUGUGAGAAAAUCAGAGUGCUCAAAGCAGGCAUUUGCCGUGAAUGUAUUAGCAUGGAAUAAUAGAAUAGGACUUGGUUCUAUUUUGUUGGUUUGUUGGGACUGAGUAAUGAUUAAGAGGGACAGUUGGGGGCAUUUGUAUUUCGGCGCUAGAGGUGAAAUUCUUAGAUUGCCGAAAGACAAACUGCUGCGAAAGCGUCUGCCAAGGAUGUUUUCAUUGAUCAAGAACGAAA
rnacentral:rRNA from 1 species